GUAUUUGUUAUAUAAUGUAUAUUUCAGACAAACAUCAUUUAGACAUGUUUAAACGUAAUAAAAUUGGCAGGCCGGGUAGACCAAUAUGUCUCAAACCCACACAGCUCUCCAAAAGAAGAGCUUAACCUGCCAACAAACAGAUCAAUGAUUCACACAAGGUGGAUAUGGAUAAAUUAUCCAUUAUUGUGGACAAUUGUUAAUGAUCCUUCCGCAGGUUCACCUACGGAAA
rnacentral:misc_RNA from 1 species